GUGCUUGCUUCAGCGGCACACAUACUACAAUUGGAACAAUACAGAGAUUAGCAUGGCCCCUGCGCAAGGAUGACAUGCAAAUUCAUGAAGCAUGUCAUAUACAU
rnacentral:snRNA from 1 species